AGUGAACGCUGGCGGUAGGCCUAACACAUGCAAGUCGAACGGCAGCACAGUAAGAGCUUGCUCUUACGGGUGGCGAGUGGCGGACGGGUGAGGAAUACAUCGGAAUCUACUUUUUCGUGGGGGAUAACGUAGGGAAACUUACGCUAAUACCGCAUACGACCUACGGGUGAAAGCAGGGGAUCUUCGGACCUUGCGCGAUUGAAUGAGCCGAUGUCGGAUUAGCUAGUUGGCGGGGUAAAGGCCCACCAAGGCGACGAUCCGUGGCUGGUCUGAGAGGAUGAUCAGCCACACUGGAACUGAGACACGGUCCAGACUCCUACGGGAGGCAGCAGUGGGGAAUAUUGGACAAUGGGCGCAAGCCUGAUCCAGCCAUACCGCGUGGGUGAAGAAGGCCUUCGGGUUGUAAAGCCCUUUUGUUGGGAAAGAAAAGCAGCAGGUUAAUACCCCGCUGUUCUGACGGUACCCAAAGAAUAAGCACCGGCUAACUUCGCG
rnacentral:rRNA from 1 species